rnacentral:rRNA from 1 species
GACGAACGCUGGCGGCGUGCUUAACACAUGCAAGUCGAACGGAAAGGCCCUGCUUUUGUGGGGUGCUCGAGUGGCGAACGGGUGAGUAACACGUGAGUAACCUGCCCUUGACUUUGGGAUAACUUCAGGAAACUGGGGCUAAUACCGGAUAGGAGCUCCUGCUGCAUGGUGGGGGUUGGAAAGUUUCGGCGGUUGGGGAUGGACUCGCGGCUUAUCAGCUUGUUGGUGGGGUAGUGGCUUACCAAGGCUUUGACGGGUAGCCGGCCUGAGAGGGUGACCGGCCACAUUGGGACUGAGAUACGGCCCAGACUCCUACGGGAGGCAGCAGUGGGGAAUAUUGCACAAUGGGCGGAAGCGUGAUGCAGCAACGCCGCGUGCGGGAUGACGGCCUUCGGUUGUAAACCGCUUUCGCCUGUGACGAAGCGUGAGUGACGGUAAUGGGUAAAGAAGCACCGGCUAACUACGUG